ACAAGCAACAGGUGUGCAGAGCAGCACAGCACUGCAGACCAGGUAAAGAACAGUGGAUCUGAUAUAUAGUGGAGACCAUCCACCUUUCAAGAGGUUACCCAAUGAUUUCCACAGUUAAUACACCAAAUCUCCCAGUAACUCCAUGAUGUACGAACCCAACCUCCAGGAAACACAUUAGUCUGGAGCCAAAGCUACAGGUGUGUGCUGGUCAGUGGAGGAGUCAUCUGAUCCUCCGAUCUGGAUUAGACUGUGUCGUUCAAUCUGCGUUACUGUAGCUGCUCGAGGUGAUCAGGGGCCUUUAUCCGAACAGCAGAAGGAAUAACCCGGGGAGUGUUGUGUUUCCCUGCUGGAGUUUUCCAGAAGAUGUCACAGAGGAGCUCAUGGUGAUGCUGCUAACCUGACUGACGACUGAUGGGCCGACUGAACAACAGAACUAACAGAUCUGAGCUUCAUCUCAAGACAGAGCAGAGCAGAAAAUAGCAGGUUUAUACAGCGGGAGAAAUGCGAGGCGACGACAGCAGGAUAUACACGUGUACUACGUAACAGAGGUUUCAACCUGAAGGUCGGUAAUGACUCCACCAGGGAGACUUUCCUUGAAAAAUAAGGCAGCAACGGAAGACUUGUUUUAAAUAUUACUCACAUGUCAUGAUUAAAGUGUCUCACUGUGGUUCACAGCA